AGCGAACGCUGGCGGCGUGCCUAACACAUGCAAGUCGAACGUGAAAGGGAGCAAUCCUGAGUAAAGUGGCGCACGGGUGAGUAACGCGUAGGUAAUCUACCCAGAAUCUGGAAUAACCUGCCGAAAGGCGGGCUAAUACUGGAUAGAGCGACGGAAUCCGUAAUUGGGUUUUUCGGGAAAGGGAGGAAGCAAUUCCCUUCGUUCUGGGAUGAGCCUGCGUCUCAUUAGCUAGUUGGUGGGGUAAAGGCCCACCAAGGCUAUGAUGGGUAGCUGGUCUGAGAGGAUGAUCAGCCACACUGGAGCUGAAACACGGUCCAGACUCCUACGGGAGGCAGCAGUGGGGAAUCUUGCGCAAUGGACGAAAGUCUGACGCAGCCACGCCGCGUGAGUGAAGAAGGCCUUCGGGUUGUAAAGCUCUGUCGUCCGGGACGAAAAUGGAGUGAGUGAAUAGCUCAUUUCACUGACGGUACCGGAAAAGGGAGCACCGGCUAACUCCGUGCCAGCAGCCGCCGUAAAAC
rnacentral:rRNA from 1 species